GUGGCGUGUGCAGCGAGGGGCACUAAAAGAUUUUGUUCCUUUCAUACCUAGAUGGAAACACCCUCAUACCAGCCUGUGACGUUGGAGCCUUUUCAACUCAGAAAACCAAUGAGCCUGCUCGGUCUAUGCAUAUCAUCUCCGCAAGGUCCUUUGCUGUUGUUCUGGGAUUGAUUAGCACUUUUCACACCAAACUACGUUUAUCUCCCAAGGAUGAACCAGAUUUUUGGAGGUCCACAAUUCUUUCCUGAGGUCUUUAGAUUUUCCCAUGAGUUUGAAGACACUUUUCUUUACUGCAACUGAACUUGGCAGUGCUUUGGGUGCUGGGUAGGAUGGAGGAGAUGGCACCCAUGAUGGAAUGGGAAUAGUGGAGUCCGAAAUUUCCACUCUACCGAUGUGGAUUAGUGUUCUCGUGGCUGCUCUGACAUAAGGAGGAAUAGGUGGGAGGGGCCCCUUUCUUUGGGCAAGCAAGAUUGUCUUCAUUAGAACUGCAGGGAGUUUGUGGGCUCGACUGGUAAUCUGGCAUACCGGGCAUUGUCCCGGUGGGCGAACGCACUUUGGGGCCGAUCAGGGGCGGACUGGCCAUUGGACGAACAGAGCGGGCCGGUGGGUCGGCCGUGAAAUGUGCCGAAUGUGCCACGAUAAGCAAAAAUGAGCCACGCGUUAUGCAGAACGGACCACAAAAUUGUGCUGUGAUAUGCUGAAAAGGAUGGCGAAACAAAUGAAAAUAAGCAGUGUUUGAGUUGGAAGCAGUGGGUGUGUCACUCACAUCACCAGGCAAGGUGUGAAAAUAAGGACAAGCCUCUGAGUACUCAAAUGGUGCAUACAGCUCCUGUUCCCAUACCAAUUUGGACUUCUGCAGAGAUAGAGACAUACCAUUAACAUCAUCGCCACAGGAAACUUCCACAUGACUCUAUGAAUGUCCAAUCACAUAUAAAGUAUUCAGUUUUAAAUACUACAGAGUAGAAGAACAUAUAUAAUGUAUGGGAAUUACAUUUAUACAGAAAUAAUUUUUAUUAAAGGGUGUUAAUCUGCUUUUUUUAAAAAUGCAAACAGAAAGACAUGCCUGAGCCAUAGUUGUGGCUGUUCAUAUUGUGUACUACGUUUCUAAUAACGGCUAUGGAGGAAGAGUGCGUACACAACAAACUUACCACAAUCAAAUCAGUCAGAAAAUCUGUGCUCUGACAAAGAGGCUCAACCAAAUAACAUUGUAUGAAUUACAAAUCUUAUCAUUUGUAAUCAUUUAUUUUUGUCAUAUAUUAUUGGAAAAACUGAAACUCCUAUUAAAACGGUAUGUUAGAUUUACAUACAUUUGCAUUUACUAGAUGCUUCUCCAAAGUGCCGUACAAAUAAGAAAAAGCACGAGCAAUGUAUCAUAAAAAAUCUUAUCAAUGCAACUAUGCAUUUCAAUGGUAAACAAGAACACAGCUUGAGCAGGUGUCGCAGAAAAUCUGAUUAUUUGUGUUAGAAAUAAUUUUUGAAAGAAUUCCAUUUUGUAAAAGCUUGCACAGUAGAAAAAAACAAAAGGUAUUGCCCUAAAGAGGACAUGGAUUCCUUACAAUCAGCCUCGACCUGUGAAUUAAAAAAGAAAUGACCAUCACAUGUUCAGACUUGUUUUUCAGGAUGUGUAUCUGAAGGACAGCUGUCCAGGGAAGGAAGCUUUAUCUAAACAUUAGACAAUUUCUCGGAAAGGCUGUGUGGAAUGUUUCCAAAAGGAGACUUGUGAGGGAAGCCAAUGAAAUCUUACAACACCUUUAAAGGACAGAAUUCCGUAGCAAUUGUACAUCAUCAACCCAUACUGAGAGCUCUGCAUAACACUAGUCUGUUUUGGGGGUAGCACAGAAACCAUUGCUCAAACAGAGCCUUGAGAAAGCCUGGCUGGAAAACACAAGAUACUUUUCAAUAUUCAAAGUGACUCAACCUUUAUUGCACCUUUUAUUUAUUUCUCUGUAAAAAUGUCAAAUAAGGAUGUCUGUGUUUGGUGGAAAUAAAACGCUCUU